rnacentral:rRNA from 1 species
UGGGGAAUUUUGGACAAUGGGCGAAGGCCUGAUCCAGCAAUGCCGCGUGUGUGAAGAAGGCCUUCGGGUUGUAAAGCACUUUUGUCCGGAAAGAAAUCCUUGGCUCUAAUACAGUCGGGGGGAUGACGGUACCGGAAGAAUAAGCACCGGCUAACUACGUGCCAGCAGCCGCGGUAAUACGUAGGGUGCAAGCGUUAAUCGGAAUUACUGGGCGUAAAGCGUGCGCAGGCGGUUUGCUAAGACCGAUGUGAAAUCCCCGGGCUCAACCUGGGAACUGCAUUGGGUGACUGGCAGGCUAGAGUAUGGCAGAGGGGGGUAGAAUUCCACGUGUAGCAGUGAAAUGCGUAGAGAUGUGGAGGAAUACCGAUGGCGAAGGCAG